rnacentral:rRNA from 1 species
CUUGAAGGAGGGGGUCUUCGCCUGAAUUAGCUAGUUGGUGAGGUGCCGCCCUCCCCCAAGGCGAUGUUCAGUAACCGGCCUGAUUGGGCGCCCGGCCACACUGGAACUGAAACACGGUCCAGACUCCUGCGGGAGGCAGCAGUGGGGAAUUUUGCGCAAUGGGGGAAACCCUGACGCAGCAACUCCGCGUGGAGGAUGAAGUCCCUUGGGACGUAAACUCCUUUCGACCGGGACGAAUAAUGGCGG